GGAUGAACGCUAGCUACAGGCUUACCCCAUGCAAGUCGCGGGGCAGCAUGGGGGUUGCUUGCAAUCCCCGAUGGCGACCGGCGCACGGGUGAGUAACGCGUAUCCAACCUGCCCUUCACCACGGGAUAACCCGGCGAAAGUCGGACUAAUACCGUAUGUUGUCCAUUGACGGCAUCCGAUUUGGACGAAAGGUUUGGCGGUGAAGGAUGGGGAUGCGUCCGAUUAGCUGGACGGCGGGGUGACGGCCCACCGUGGCGACGAUCGGUAGGGGUUCUGAGAGGAAGGUCCCCCACACUGGAACUGAGACACGGUCCAGACUCCUACGGGAGGCAGCAGUGAGGAAUAUUGGUCAAUGGGCGUAAGCCUGAACCAGCCAAGUAGCGUGCAGGAUGACGGCCCUAUGGGUUGUAAACUGCUUUUAUGCGGGGAUAAAGUGGCCCACGUGUGGGUUUUUGCAGGUACCGCAUGAAUAAGGACCGGCUAAUUCCGUG
rnacentral:rRNA from 1 species